UGGCAUUAUUUUCUAUUUACCCUGGAAUAAAUGAGAUCAGAACCUCUCUCUCUCCCCCCACAUCUUUUAGACUCUUAAGUGAUGCUUUCCUGUACAGAUAAUCUAUCUUAAUUUCUGCUCUCUCCCAUAUCAAUCUCCUUUAACACUUAAAUAUCUUGAAGUCCAUACUCCAUUUUUACCUCCCUUCCUCAUUGACGUCAGUGGAAGUUUGUUUGAAAAGCAACUGAAUAAAAUCAGAAUAAGGCCAUCAAGUGUGUUGGUUCCUUAUUUGUCAUGACCUUGGGAAAAUGCUUCGGACAUUUUUCCCACCCUCAUUUUUGCACUAAAAUGUUCAUAUGUUAUUCUUUCAGCUUCAUAGCUGAUUGUCACUCACUGAUGUGCCUGAAUACCCGAGGGCAAAAGAAACAAUUUGCUAUCCACGAUGACAAUGGAGGCACUGGAUCCAUUGGUCCUGAAUACCAAAAUGCCCCAGACUCCCAGAAUGAACUGAAAAUUACAACUCCCCGGAAGAUAUCUUCACCCUUCCUCAUCCUUGGUCUCCUCUUGGGUCCGACCUCCUGAGAGUCAUUGUGACACCAGAGGAGGAAACUUCCUCAAGGAGAUGGGAGUGUUCCACUCCUCAGUCCAUAGGCAGGAGCUUUUACCCUUCCGGAACUAAUUGCUCCACCGGUCAAGCAGGAACUAGCCUUCUCCUUGGAGGAGUUGGAGGCUCCAGACAUUGCUUCACCCCCAGGCAGCUGGAACUCAAAACAGUAAACAAAGAUUGCUCAAGAUAUAACUAAACAUCCUAAGAACUUUUUCUCCAAACUCGAGGCUUACAGAGGAUGAAAAGGGAACAUAUAAUGUUAAUACUACAGUUGGCGUGUUUACUGGAGCAAAAGGUCAAUCAACUGCUGGGAGAGGAUCACGUAACAGUGGUGAUUACCCAGGUGCAGCAGAAGAUUUUAUGAAAAAGGACAUCCAACCGUGGUAGUCAGGAAGAGAGCUUCUGCCUAAAUGAGACUUGUUCACAGUCCCACUAAUCCUUUUUCUGCUCAGAUGAGUGCAUGUUUCACAGGAAUCAAACUACUACAGUACCUGAAUUGAAUUCCCUGUUCUGCAGUAUGUGUCUACAAGAACUGGGGCCAACUCCCGCCAUGUGCACCAAGCAGCUUUGGUCUGAACAUCAAUCAGGAGGCCGCCAUUAUCAGCAACCACUGAUCCCAGAUGAUUUAUGAUGCAUUUCUGGUGAUGGAUUGAAAGUUUUGCUUGACGUUCUUAUCCAUGGCACCUAUGUGAAGAUGUAAUGCAGCUUGGACCAGUCCUUUGCUAACAGUCAUCUGUUCUAGAUGAAAUGAUCCAUAAUCAUAAUGACCUCUGAGAGGCAGCUGUUGAUGUCUGCAAAACUCAAGUGUCUUGAUAACGUGGACAAGACAUUCCUGAUUUGCUGAAACUGCCUUUUGUCGGACACUUGAAAGAUUUUGAACGUUGGUAUUCUCAUCAAUGAAUACUUUAAGGAAGUCAUCAACCUUCUGUAUGGAGUUUUUAUGAUACUGAAUAUUCUUGUGGUGGCUGAAGACUUCUUUAGUGUCUUUACAGUUUGUAGAGGGAUGCAUAACAAGCUGCCUGAGCUUCUGCUCUUGUUUUGCAAUGGUGGCAGGAGUAAACACCACACAGAAUUUACUAAAUAUACCCAGCUAUGUGGCACUGUACACCAUCCAGGGAUAUUGCAAUAGCCAUUUGCACUGAAAAGUGUUUCUCUUUGCCUGCA